GUGUCAGGCCGCGGUAAGACGAGGGAUCCUAGCGUUGCUCGGAAUCAUUGGGCGUAAAGCGGGUGUAGGUGGCUUUGUAAGUCAGGUGUGAAAGCCCAGGGCUCAACCCUGGAAGUGCAUUUGAAACUGCAAAGCUUGAGUGCUAGAGAGGUUAUUAGAAUACCUGGUGUAGUGGUGAAAUACGUAGAUAUCAGGUGGAACACCGGAGGCGAAGGCGGAUAACUGGCUAGACACUGACACUGAGACCCGAAAGUGCGGGGAUCAAACAGGAUUAGAUACCCUGGUAGUCC
rnacentral:rRNA from 1 species